rnacentral:rRNA from 1 species
GAACUUUCAACAACGGAUCUCUUGGUUCUGGCAUCGAUGAAGAACGCAGCGAAAUGCGAUAAGUAAUGUGAAUUGCAGAAUUCAGUGAAUCAUCGAAUCUUUGAACGCACAUUGCGCCCCUUGGUAUUCCGAGGGGCAUGCCUGUUCGAGCGUCAUUU